UACGGCCGCAAGGUUAAAACUCAAAUGAAUUGACGGGGGCCCGCACAAGCGGUGGAGCAUGUGGUUUAAUUCGAUGCAACGCGAAGAACCUUACCUGGUCUUGACAUCCACGGAAGUUUUCAGAGAUGAGAAUGUGCCUUCGGGAACCGUGAGACAGGUGCUGCAUGGCUGUCGUCAGCUCGUGUUGUGAAAUGUUGGGUUAAGUCCCGCAACGAGCGCAACCCUUAUCCUUUGUUGCCAGCGGUCCGGCCGGGAACUCAAAGGAGACUGCCAGUGAUAAACUGGAGGAAGGUGGGGAUGACGUCAAGUCAUCAUGGCCCUUACGACCAGGGCUACACACGUGCUACAAUGGCGCAUACAAAGAGAAGCGACCUCGCGAGAGCAAGCGGACCUCAUAAAGUGCGUCGUAGUCCGGAUUGGAGUCUGCAACUCGACUCCAUGAAGUCGGAAUCGCUAGUAAUCGUGGAUCAGAAUGCCACGGUGAAUACGUUCCCGGGCCUUGUACACACCGCCCGUCACACCAUGGGAGUGGGUUGCAAAAGAAGUAGGUAGCUUAACCUUCGGGAGGGCGCUUACCACUUUGUGAUUCAUGACUGGGGUGAAGUCGUAACAAGGUAACCGUAGGGGAACCUGCGGUUGGAUCACCUCCUUACCUUAAAGAAGC
rnacentral:rRNA from 2 species